rnacentral:rRNA from 1 species
CGGGGUGAACUUGGUGCUGACGAGUAGCGAACGGGUGAGUAACGCGUGGGAAUCUGCCCUAUAGUGGGGGAUAACGCAUCGAAAGGUGUGCUAAUACCGCAUAAUCUCUCAGGAGAAAAGCAGGGGAUCGCAAGACCUUGCGCUUUAGGAGCGGCCGAUGCCUGAUUAGCUAGUUGGUAAGGUAAAAGCUUACCAAGGCUUCGAUCAGUAGCUGGUCUGAGAGGACGACCAGCCACACUGGGACUGAGACACGGCCCAGACUCC